rnacentral:rRNA from 1 species
AUGGGCACAGGCACAUACCUGUUGGAUAAGGAACACUUGCCUAUCUACCCAUACUUUGAGGACAAUCAAGUUGUGAUAAAUGAGAAUGAACCAUCAUCAGUACAAGCUCAAGAGAAGAAGGAGAAAGCAAAGAAAGAGAAGGCUGCCAAGAUGCCAACUCAAGAGGAGGCAUCUGAGUACUUUUUGAAAAGCAAGCAAGAUCAGGUUGGCUACCUGAUUGCAUCCACUCUGAGGAUUGAGAAGGGACUGGCCACCCUGACUCAAAACCAGGAGAGCUUGGAAAGAAUCGUGGAGCAAAAAAUUCUAUGA